rnacentral:rRNA from 1 species
GACAGAGGGGGCAAGCGUUGCUCGGAAUUACUGGGCGUAAAGCGCACGUAGGCGGCUUUGUAAGUUAGAGGUGAAAGCCCGGAGCUCAACUCCGGAAUUGCCUUUAAGACUGCAUCGCUAGAAUUGUGGAGAGGUAAGUGGAAUUCCGAGUGUAGAGGUGAAAUUCGUAGAUAUUCGGAAGAACACCAGUGGCGAAGGCGACUUACUGGACACAUAUUGACGCUGAGGUGCGAAAGCGUGGGGAGCAAACAGG